UACGGGGGGGGCAAGCGUUGUUCGGAAUUACUGGGCGUAAAGGGCUCGUAGGCGGCCAACUAAGUCGGAUGUGAAAUCCCCAGGCUCAACCUGGGAGCUGCAUCCGAUACUGGAUGGCUUGAAUUCGGGAGAGGGAUGCAGAAUUCCAGGUGUAGCGGUGAAAUGCGUAGAUAUCCGGAGGAACACCGGUGGCGAAGGCGGCUUCCUGGACCGACACUGACGCUGAGGCGCGAAAGCUAGGGGAGCAAACGGG
rnacentral:rRNA from 1 species